rnacentral:rRNA from 1 species
GACACUCAGGGGAUCACUUGGCUCAUCCGUCGAUGAAGAGUGCGGCUAUCUGCGUGAACUGAUGCGAAUAGCAGGACUCAGUGAACAUCGACACCUCGAACACACAUUGCGGCCCUGGGAUCCCAUCGUCCAGGGGCCCUGUCCGUCUAUUUAUAU